ACGUUGAUGGUGAAAUGGUUAUCAUUCUUGCCUUCUAUAUGUACGUAAUAACUACGUAAGCAAGGGGUGCGAGCUUAAUUCUUGCUCAACGUA